rnacentral:rRNA from 1 species
GGUUCGAUCAUGGCUCAGAUUGAACGCUGGCGGGAUGCUUUACACAUGGAAGUCGAACAGCAGCACGGACUUCGGUCUGGUGGCGAGUGGCAGACCGGGUGAGUAAUGUAUCGGAACGUGCCCUAUUAGCGGGGAUAACUACGCGAAAGCGUAGCUAAUACCGCAUACGCUUCGAGGAAGAAAGCAGGGGACCUUCCGGGCUCGCACUAUUAGAGCGGCCGAUAUCGGAUUAGCUAGUUGGUGGGGGUAACGGCUCACCAAGGCGACGAUCCGUAGCUGGUUUGAGAGGACGACCAGCCACACUGGGACUGAGACACGGCCCAGACUCCUACGGGGAGGCAGCAGUGGGGAAUUUUGGACAAUGGGGAAACCCUGAUCCAGCCAUCCCGCGUGUGCGAUGAAGGCCUUCGGGUUGUAAAGCACUUUUGGCAGGAAAGAAACGGCACGGGAUAAUACCCCGUGCAACUGACAGUACCUGCAGAAUAAGCACCGGCUAACUACGUGCCAGCAGCCGCGGUGGCACGUAGGGUGCAAGCGUUAAUCCAGAUUACUGGGCGUAAAGCGUGCGCAGGCGGUUCGGAAAGAAAGAUGUGAAAUCCCAGAGCUUAACUGAACUGCAUUUUUAACUACCGAGCUAGAGUGUGUCAGAGAAGUGGAAUUCCGCGUGUAGCAGUGAAAUGCGUAGAUAUGCGGAGGAACACCGUGGCGAAGGCAGCCUCCUGGGAUAACACUGACGCUCAUGCACGAAAGCGUGGGGGAGCAAACAGGAUUAGAUACCCUGGUAGUCCACGCCCUAAACGAUGUCAACUAGCUGUUGGGGCCUUCGGGCCUUGGUAGCGCAGCUAACGCGUGAAGUUGACCGCCUGGGGAGAUACGGUCGCAAGAUUAAAACUCAAAGGAAUUGACGGGGACCCGCACAAGCGGUGGAUGAUGCGGAUUAAUUCGAUGCAACGCGAAAACCUUACCUACCCUUGACAUGUCUGGAAUCCCGAAGAGAUUUGGGGUGCUCGCAAGAGAACCGGAACACAGGUGCUGCAUGGCUGUCGUCAGCUCGUGUCGUGAGAUGUUGGGUUAAGUCCCACCAACGAAGGCGCAACCCUUGUCGUGGUUGCUACGAAGGGCACUCCUAAUGAGACUGCCGGUGACAAACCGGAGGAAGGUGGGGAUGACGUCAAGUCCUCAUAGCCUUAUGGGUAGGGCUUCACGUCAUACAAUGGUCGGGACAGAGGGGUCGCCAACCCGCGAGGGGGAGCCAAUCCCAGAAACCCGAUCGUAGUCCGGAUCGCAGUCUGCAACUCGACUGCGUGAAGUCGGAAUCCGCUAGUAAUCGCGGAUCAGCAUGUCGCGGUGAAUACGUUCCCGGGUCUUGUACACACCGCCCGUCACACCAUGGGAGUGGGUUUUACCAGAAGUAGUUAGCCUAACCGUAAGGAGGGCGAUUACCACGGUAGGAUUCAUGACUGGGGUGAAGUCGUAACGGGUAACCCUGUUUACUUUACACAGUGCUCCAGAACAAUACGUAAAA